UCGACAACGUGUUUAUGCAAUGUUUCAUUGAGUGUGUCCGCGAUGACUGGUCUAAACAUAUUCCUCCACUCAAUGCUCACCAGCUCAUUCUAGAUGUUAAUGUUGGGGCUAUAUUGAACUUUGAGGAGCAGGAGCAACAUAGUAAGUCUCCUCGUCCAUUUGACCCUUCAGUUUUGGAGAGUUACCUAUUGAAUACACUGCCUUCAUUCAAGCAGCUGGAUGACUACAAAUCAAUAAUGGUACCCAUGCUACGAUCUGGACAUUGGACAUUGUAUGUUGUUAAUCUUCAGAUUGGACGCAUACAUGUGUUAGAUUCCAACCCAUAUGGACCAGAGAUGGGUGGGA